rnacentral:tRNA from 1 species
GGGCCCUUAGUAUAGUAGUAAAACAUCUCCAUGGCAUGGAGGGGUCGAGGGUGCGAUUCCCUCAGGGUCCA